AUGAUUUUUGAGGCGAGAUUCGACCUGACAAUAUUUUUAUCUGCGUCUUGUUUUUUAGCCACAUUCCAUUUUCAGUAUCAAUGGGAAACAAAACGGUUUAGCAGGAUUGUCUUUCUGACUCACACACACUCAAACAAGCCACUGGAAUGUGCGGUAUGUGAUGUUAAACUGUUUUCUUUGAGUACAUUUACCUUUAACACUGACAUUUGCAGUCUGUCUGGGGUCGCUGGUGAAGCGUCUGCGUGGGGAUUUGGGGCAGUGAUACUGUGGGAAACGUCCCGGCGCUCGGCAGACGGCUAGAACGUGUUAAACUCACGCCGUUAAUUACUCUCCCAGAUGAUACCAAACACUUCUGUCUCUAAUGAGACUCCUGGGAACUUUGUUGUAUAGAAAUCGAGUCGUGUAACAACUAAAAGAGAUGAGAGAAGAGAAAACAAUGACACAAGAUACCAAGUAUGCAGAACUCUAGUUAAAGGGAUACUCCACCCCAAUAUGAAAAUUUUGUCAUUAAUCACUUACUGCCAUGUCUUUCCAAACCCGUAAAAGCUCUGUUCGUCUUCAGAACACAAUUUAAGAUAUUUUCGAUGAAUCCUGGGAGGCUUGUGACUGUCCCAUAGACUGACAAAUACAUUACAGUGUCAAGGUCCAUAAAAGGUAUGAAAGUCAUCGUCAGAAUACUCCAUCUGCCAUCAGACGUCCAAUCUGGGUUAUAUGAAGUGACGGGAACACUUUUUGUAAGCGAAGAAAACAAAACUAACGACUUUAUUCAACAAUUCCUUUGUCAACAAUCUCCUCUGUGUCUCUCCAUAUCACCGUAUGCUGUGUAUGCUCUUCUGUGUCAUCCGUGGUACAAGGACAGUCACAAGCCUCACGGUUUUCAUCCAAAAUAUCUUAAAUUGUGUUCCGAAGACGAACAGAGCUUUUACGGGUUUGGAACGACAUGGGGGUAAGUGAUUAAUGAUAAAAUUUUUAUUUUGGGGUGGAGUAUCCCUUUAAACAAGUUAUUAAAAGACAAGGCAAUGAAAGACUUACAUAUAAACAUAGAGCAAAAUUAACACGUGAACUUUGUUAGUGUCAUUAAUUAAUGGUGUUUCCUCUAAUUGUGUGUGUUGCUGAGGAGAUUUAAUUCACUAAGUGGUCGGAUGCACCAUUUUCACCUGCAGGAAUAUAAAAUAGGUGAAAACAUCGUUUGAUGUCAUAAUCAACCAGACACUAAACGCCACUCAGCAGUGUAAUAUAAGUAUAAUUGAAAUACUAUUUUCUAGUUUUCAUUAAUAUUUUAUUAUUUAAAAUGUUUUUAUUUUUAUAUUUUCAAUUAAAUUAAGGAACACUUUUAGUAAUUUUGUUGUAUGCUUUUGUCAUUUUUAUUAUCUUUUAUUUAUUUAUUUAUUUAUUAAAUGGCUAUAGUAUUAUUAUUUAUUUCAGUUUUAGUCUUAUUGUAGUAUAUCAAGUAAAACAAAAUACAGAUGAGAAAUGUUGGCUUAUUGGUAACAAGAUGAAAUAAUAUAUAUAUUUUAUUUUAUUUUAUUUUAUUUUAGUUAAUGUUUAUUUCAAAUAAUAGAGUUUUUUAUUCAUAUUUUGAAAUAGUCUUUAUUUUUAUAUUUUCAUUUAAAUUCAGGUAAAGGUUUAGUUAUUUUGUAGUGUAAAUUUUUUAUAUUCUAUUUAGUUUCGGUUCAUGUUUUUUCAAGUAAUAACAUUC
ensembl:lncRNA